GUUUCUUUUAGACUAUACCGUAACAAGGAUUGCAUCUGUGGUUGCCCAGGCAGUUGUUGCGGCCAUACAGUCACCAACUCCUGCGGUUGUUGACACCAGGGAGGUGCCCCUUAAUGGUCGCUCUGAGACUGGUGCCCAAGUGCAGGGGCCAGUGGCAUCAGCCUUAGAGCACCUCACAGCUGAGCAUGUUAAUCUGGAGGUUGUGCGUCCACCAUCAUCUGGCUCCCAUAUUCAGUUUAAUUCUAUUACCAUCCAGAUUGAUGUUCUGGUCAGUCCCAAAAUAAAGGCUAAAAUUUGGGUGAAUGAGUUUAUUGAGUUUGGUUCAUUAUUGAACCCUUAUGUGGGCCAAACAAGAUAUCAGCUUUCACUGGCACAGAGUGAGAGUUUGGUGCCAACACUUUCAUUAGAGCCAUCCUCUAAGAUUAAACCCAUAUACAGCAUUGAUGCAUGGACAUCAGCCUUCCAGAUUUUUGUUGGGUGGGGUUUACAACAGAAAAUUUUCUCAAGAAGCUCCCAAAUUAAUGAAAUAUGUGGACGUUGUGCGAGACUUGGCUGCACGAGGAGCAAAUUGGAGAUUUUAUGACACUCAGUUUCGAUCGCUACAACAAACAAGAGCACAUGAAAUCCCUUGGGGCGCAACUCAUUUUGAGUUGUGGGUUCGUGCACAGAGUUUUGCGCAUAUUGCUCCAGCUCGGUCAAGUAUUGCACAGCCUUCUGGGCGUACCUCGCUGUUGGGCCCAUUUGUCCCAAUUGGUUUCUGCUGUGCAUUCCAUAAGGGGGUUAAUUGCACAGGCUGUUCUUACAAGCAUACCUGUUUUAAGUGUGGAGCUGCGCACUCUGCUAAAAGCUGUAAUUUUCGUCACUCAGGAAGAACCACCAUUACAAAACCAGCAGCAGGUGUGCGCACUUCCAACCCCAAUAAAAAAUUGAUGGCCUUUUUGCCUCUGUUACAAGGAUAUGUGGUCCAAAUUGUUUUAAUGUUUUUUGUUUUUAAUUGUUUUGAGGGUUUUACCUAUGGGUUCCUCUUCACUUUGAGGGUGGUCACCCCUCUUUUUGUUCAAAUCAAAACCCUGGAGUUGUAGGUACUAAACUUGCGAAAGAAAUUGUGGCGGGUCGCAUUGUAACCCCCUUCCCCCCCCCCCUUUUUUCAAUUUCCGUGUUUCUCCUUUGGGGCUUGUGCCUAAGAAAAUUCCAGGCGAGUUUCGGCUUAUUCACCACUUAUCUUUUUCACAAGGGGUGUCCAUCAAUGACGGCAUUUCGCCUGAACACACUACUGUUUCUUAUAGUCGUGUGGAUGAUGCAAUUGCCAUUAUAAAAAUUAAAAAAAAAAAAAAAAAAAUAGGGAGAGGCUGUUUUUUAGCUAAAACGGUCAUAAAGGGUGCUUUUCGCAUUAUACCCAUUCGUCCAGCAGAUUACCCUCUGUUAGGUAUCAUGUGGCAGGGAAAGUAUUAUUAUGAUAGAGCCAUGCCCAUGGGGUGUGCAUCUUCCUGCCGCACUGCUUUUGAGUGGGUUGCUAAAACUCGGUGUAACAUUCCACAAAUAUUGAAAACGCGCACUAUUCUUUCCGAAUUUCUUUGCCGUCGAAAGGCAACCUUAAAGAGGUUCAAUCUUUGAUUGGUCUGCUUAAUUUCGCUUGCAUUGUCGUACCACCGGGUCGGGCUUUUCUGCGGCGUCUCAUUGAUUUAACGAAAGGUGUUAAUGCCCCCCCCCCUUUUUAUCGUAUUCGUCUAACAAGGUCCGUUCAGGUCUGAUUCCGCGGCGGGCGGGGUGCGGAAAAUUUCGAGCGAAAACACUUGUGCGAAAAUUUUCUCUCGUAGCGAUUUCCACACUUGGAGAAAAAGAUUGGUUUCGCUAUUUCUAUUUCGCAACGGAGUAGAAACGACUUCAACUACCCGGCGAAGAGAAAUAUUUCUCAGAGAAACAUUCCAAAAUCAUGUUGCGCAUGCGUUCAACCUUUUCGCGCGGGGUUUUUCGCGUUUCGCUCGUCGUGGAAUUGGGCCUUUAAAGCAGAUUUAGGAAAUCCUUUCUGGAUGAUUUCGAUGGCCGGUCGUUUUUUCGUUCUGACGAUUGAAUUUGUAUACUAAUGCCGCUGCGGGUCAUGGCUUUGGCGCUAUAUUUCUCAACUUUUGGUUUUAUGGGCCUUGGCCUGAGGAAUGGAAAAAACUCGACAUUGUUGUUUUGGAGUUUGUUUUUUUUCCCAAUUGUCCUCAGUGUCAUCUUAUGGGGUCAUCUCAUGCAAAACCAACGCAUACUAUGGUCGAGAUCAUAAUAAAACUACUUCACGGGAUCCCAUUGUGAUGAUAUUUAGGUAGGUAGGUAGGUAGGUAGGUAGGUAAUACUUUAUCUAAAAUUAACAGAAAGAAGAACACGCUAGCCCCAUCAACUCUAGGCUGGUUUCCAUGGGGGGCGUGUUUAGAUCAUAAAAAUCGUUAAAAGGAAAAUUUAAACUAAAUAUUAGUACACACAUACUGUACACGUUACUAUAUACAAAUAAUUAGGAAGCAUGUCG
rnacentral:lncRNA from 1 species